AACAAUUUAAUCAAUUUUCAGUCGGUGGCUUUUUUCGAUUGAGUCUGUUUCGUAAAAUUUUUAUUUUUACGCCUUUUUUAAUUUUUCAAAACAAAAUGUAUUAUUUUCGUGAAACAUCAACAAUGUGCAGAAAAAGCAAACUUAGUAGAAUGACCAAAGCGUAUUCUUAAGUGCGGCGCUGUAUCCGUACAGAAAAAAAAAAACUUCUAGAAUAAUUAUUAUCCGGAUUACACAGAAGAACCA